AUGUAACUUAUUGAAACCUGAACAAACAUUAUGGAUAUGCUGGGAACUCUGUUUCUAUAUUUCACCCUUCUGUCUCUGACACAGGUACAGAAGGUUUUGGCAGCUUGUCCAAUCACGUCAAUAACGUCACCCUCUGCGUCAACACUGAAUGUUAAAUGGAGC